CGCUCUUUGCAAAAUAAUUAAAGUAUAAAGAGUCCUGCCUGCCCAGUGACGUUGUUAAACGGCCGCGGUAUUUUGACCGUGCAAAGGUAGCAUAAUCAUUUGCCUUUUAAAUGGGGGCUGGUAUGAAUGGCAAGACGGAGGUUCAGCUGUCUUUUUCUUUUGUCUUGAAAUUUAUUUUUUUGUGAAGAAGCAAAGAUUAAUUCGUAGGACGAGAAGACCCUAUCGAGCUUUAGCAUAGUAGUUCUAGUGGUAUUUUUGUUUACAUAAUUUAAUCUACCUGAGUUUUGGUUAAUAAGAUUAGUUUUUAUAGGAAAAUUAUAUAGUUCUAUUGUUUGGGUUGGGGCAACCGUGGAGAAAAUAGAUCCUCCAUUAGUUAUAAGAAGAAGAGACAACUUUGUUAAGAGAAGAAAUGAUCCGAUAGUAUUGUCGAACAAAGGAAYAAGUUACCGUAGGGAUAACAGCGUAAUUUUUUUGGAGAGUCCAUAUUGAUAAAAAAGUUUGCGACCUCGAUGUUGGAUCGGGAUUUCCUAGAGAUGCAGCAGUUUCUAAGGGUUGGUCUGUUCGACCAUUAAAAUCCU
rnacentral:rRNA from 1 species